rnacentral:rRNA from 1 species
GAUGAACGCUAGCGGCAGGCCUAAUACAUGCAAGUCGGACGGGAUCCAUUGAUAGCUUGCUAUCAAUGGUGAGAGUGGCGCACGGGUGCGUAACGCGUGAGCAACCUGCCUCCAUCAGGGGGAUAGCCUCUCGAAAGAGAGAUUAACACCGCAUAAUAUCAACAGUUCGCAUGUUCAGUUGAUUAAAUAUUUAUAGGAUGGAGAUGGGCUCGCGUGACAUUAGCUAGUUGGUAGGGUAACGGCUUACCAAGGCGACGAUGUCUAGGGGCUCUGAGAGGAGAAUCCCCUACACUGGUACUGAGACACGGACCAGACUCCUACGGGAGGCAGCAGUAAGGAAUAUUGAUCAAUGGGCGGAAGCCUGAACCAGCCAUGCCGCGUGCAGGAUGACUGCCCUAUGGGUUGUAAACUGCUUUUGUCCAGGAAUAAACCUAAAUACGAGUAUUUAGCUGAAUGUACUGGAAGAAUAAGGAUCGGCUAACUCCGUG